rnacentral:rRNA from 1 species
UCGAGCGGAAGGCCACUUCGGUGGUACUCGAGCGGCGAACGGGUGAGUAACACGUGAGUAAUCUGCCCCUGGCUUCGGGAUAGCCACCGGAAACGGUGAUUAAUACCGGAUAUGACAUGGACUCGCAUGGGUUUGUGUGGAAAGUUUUUCGGCCAGGGAUGUGCUCGCGGCCUAUCAGCUUGAUGGUGAGGUAAUGGCUCACCAUGGCUUCGACGGGUAGCCGGCCUGAGAGGGUGACCGGCCACACUGGGACUGAGACACGGCCCAGACUCCUACGGGAGGCAGCAGUGGGGAAUAUUGGACAAUGGGCGGAAGCCUGAUCCAGCAACGCCGCGUGAGGGAUGACGGCCUUCGGGUUGUAAACCUCUUUCAGUACCGACGAAGCGCAAGUGACGGUAGGUACAGAAGAAGCACCGGCCAACUACGUGCCAGCAGCCGCGGUAAUACGUAGGGUGCGAGCGUUGUCCGGAAUUAUUGGGCGUAAAGGGCUCGUAGGCGGUUUGUCGCGUCGGGAGUGAAAACGCCGUGCUUAACACGGCGCUUGCUUUCGAUACGGGCAGACUAGAGGUAUUCAGGGGAGAACGGAAUUCCUGGUGUAGCGGUGAAAUGCGCAGAUAUCAGGAGGAACACCGGUGGCGAAGGCGGUUCUCUGGGAAUGACCUGACGCUGAGGAGCGAAAGUGUGGGGAGCGAACAGGAUUAGAUACCCUGGUAGUCCACACCGUAAACGUUGGGCGCUAGGUGUGGGGUCCAUUCCACGGAUUCCGUGCCGCAGCUAACGCAUUAAGCGCCCCGCCUGGG